GUGCACUGGUCACUGCAGUGCACUGCAGUGACCAGUGCACUGCAGUGACCAGUGCACUGCAGUACACUGGUCACUGCAGUGCACUGGUCACUGCAGUGACCAGUGCACUGCAGUGACCAGUGUACUGCAGUGACCAGUGCACUGCAGUGACCAGUGUACUGCAGUACACUGGUCACUGCAGUGCACUGGCCACUGCAGAGCACUGGUCACUGCAGAGCACUGGUCACUGCAGUGCACUGGUCACUGCAGUGCACUGGUCACUGCAGUGCACUGGUCAC